UUGUAUAAUUUGAUAUGGACUCAGACAACACAGUUUAACACAGAAUUUAAGGAAGGCUCCUGGCAGGCGCGGGUCAGGGGCAGUAGUGCCCCCGGCAGCCCCGAAAGGCAGGCCCGCCAAAGCAACAUGGUAUAAUAAACAAAGGGUUGGAGGUCGGGCCAUAAAGACCCUAACUCAGUAAUGAUCCUUCCGCAGGUUCACCUACGGAAA
rnacentral:misc_RNA from 1 species